rnacentral:rRNA from 1 species
GAUCAUGGCUCAGGACGAACGCUGGCGGCGUGCUUAACACAUGCAAGUCGAACGAGAAUCUGUGGAAAGAGGAUUCGUCCAAUUGAAGCAGAGGACAGUGGCGGACGGGUGAGUAACGCGUGAGGAACCUGGCCUUUCAGAGGGGGACAACAGUUGGAAACGACUGCUAAUACCGACAUAACGACAUAGGUGUCGCAUGGCACUUAUGUCAAAGAUUUAUCG